UUGGAGGGCAGUCUGGUGCCAGCAGCCGCGGUAAUUCCAGCUCCAAUAGCGUAUAUUAAAGUUGUUGCAGUUAAAAAGCUCGUAGUUGAACUUCGGGGUCUACCCAUUGGUCAGGCUUAAUUGUCUGCACUGGUGAGAUGGAUCUCUACCUUCUGAGGAACUUUCAUGCCAUUUAUUUGGUGUGAUGGGAAAUCAGGACUGUUACUUUGAAAAAAUUAGAGUGUUUAAAGCAGACUAUCGUCUGAAUACAUUAGCAUGGAAUAAUGAAAUAGGACGGACUGAUUCUAUUUCGUUGGUUUCUAGGAUCACCGUAAUGAUUAAUAGGGAUAGUUGGGGGCAUUAGUAUUCAAUUGUCAGAGGUGAAAUUCUUGGAUUUAUUGAAGACUAACUACUGCGAAAGCAUUUGCCAAGGAUGUUUUCAUUAAUCAAGAACGAAAGUUAGGGGAUCGAAGACGAUCAGAUACCGUCGUAGUCUUAACCAUAAACUAUGCCGACUAGGGAUCGGAUGAUGUUAAUUUUUUAAUGACUCAUUCGGCGCCUUACGGGAAAC
rnacentral:rRNA from 1 species